AAGUGCUGCUGAAAUAAAGGAGUGCACUUUUUCUAAAAACUAUAGCGGUGAAGAUCUAUCUAAUAUGACAACCUCCCAGAAAAAUCAUUACCUUUCUCUAUCAAUGCAAAGGGAAACCUCAAGUAUACCAAAAGCACCUAGCAGUGAAAAAGACCUUGAUGCAAAAUGGUCAUAUCCCUCUCCCCAAAUGUUUUAUAAAGCUAUGAAGAAAAAAGGUUACUCGCCUUCGGUAGAAGACAUGGACUUAGUUGUUCAGGUUUAAAAAGUUGGUAUCGUAAUAUAUUUAAGUUAAUACCUAAAAGAUUCACAACGAUGUUAAUGAAAGAACUUGGUUACGUCUUUUAGAGUGGGAAAAACUUCAUCCAACGCAAGUCUACUUCGUUUGUUGUAUUGUUAUUAUUAGCAACUUUGAACGCUCCGCACUCUGGCAGGUGUACCAUCCUCGUCUUCUUAAAUUUCGCCGGACGUCCUGCUGACGUUUCUCCGCGUGCUCGUAUACGUUGGUUACUUUUUGGUUAUCCUCUUCCUUUUGAUAGACACGACUGGAUUAUUGAUCGUUGUGGUACCAAAGUUCGCUAUGUAAUUGAUUUUUAUCAGUAUAAUCUGGAUGAAGGUGACCCUUUUUCAGUACCAGUUACGGCCAUAGACGUGAGACCUGCACUAGAUUCUUUUUCUAACGUCUACGAUAGAAUUCG